rnacentral:rRNA from 1 species
AGUGGCGGACGGGUGAGUAACGCGUGAGAAUCUACCUUCAGGACGGGGACAACAGCUGGAAACGGCUGCUAAUACCCGAUAUGCCGAAAGGUGAAAAGUUUUUUCGCCUGGAGAGGAGCUCGCGUCCGAUUAGCUAGUUGGUGAGGUAAAAGCUUACCAAGGCGACGAUCGGUAGCUGGUCUGAGAGGAUGAGCAGCCACACUGGAACUGAGACACGGUCCAGACUCCUACGGGAGGCAGCAGUGGGGAAUUUUCCGCAAUGGGCGAAAGCCUGACGGAGCAACGCCGCGUGGGGGAAGAAGGUUUUUGGAUUGUAAACCCCUUUUCUCAAGGAAGAACAAAAUGACGGUACUUGAGGAAUCAGCCUCGGCUAACUCCGUGCCAGCAGCCGCGGUAAUACGGAGGAGGCAAGCGUUAUCCGGAAUUAUUGGGCGUAAAGCGUUCGUAGGCGGCUGUUCAAGUCUGCUGUCAAAGACCGAGGCUCAACCUCGGGUAGGCAGUGGAAACUGGAUAGCUAGAGGUCGGUAGGGGCAGAGGGAAUUCCCAGUGUAGCGGUGAAAUGCGUAGAUAUUGGGAAGAACACCGGUGGCGAAAGCGCUCUGCUGGGCCGCACCUGACGCUGAGGGACGAAAGCUAGGGGAGCGAAUGGGAUUAGAUACCCC